GCAGAAUUCAGCUAGACACACACAAAAAAGACAAUCACUACAGCCUUCCAAGAAGAUGGACUGCCUCACAAUAGUUUCCUUGAGGACUGUCUUGAAAUAUCCAGAGUUUAAGAUUCAAGAAACGGACUCUAUCUGGAAAAGGAAAACAAUAUCAAAGCUCCUCUGUGAGAAGUUGGCCAAGGAAAGCAUUCAGAAGAAAGUGGAGAUUCAUUGUUUUUACCAGAUCCAGCAGAUCACAGAAAGCAUCUAGUAGGGGAGUUUCCAGGAUUAAGCCAGCCAGUAGAUGAGACUAUUAUAUCAAAAAUACAUUUACUUGUACACGAGGGCACACAAAGACAUUUCCGUCUGUUUGUAAAGGAUACUAUUUCACCAGGGAACACCAUCUCAGAAUUUAACAGAUGCUUUUACCAAUAAGGAUGUAAGAAAUCACAUUUACAGGGCACCGAGAUUUUGCCAGGUAGUUUAGAACUGUGUGCAUUGGUUUUGGAAGAAUUUGGGCUGUUUAGGCUAAAAUCCAUUAUGAUUGGACAGAAUAUGAACACAAACAUCCAAUACUUCAAAGAUAUUAUGUUUGUGGAGGCAGAGAUUUUGAUUGCAUCCACUGUUUAGAAUACAUCCUUAAGGGAAGCAGACUGCCGCCUUUACCCAAUGAUAUAAUGAUUAAUCAUAACUAUAUCUGUUUUGUACCAAAUAGAAAGAGCAUUGCGUCAUUUUCAAAUCCACUGACAUACAUUGUACUAUACAUGCAACCUUUUCAAACUUUACAUUUAAGAUUUUAUAAAGGAAAUAUCUUAAUGUUUCACAUGUUUACCUUUCACUGUGCUAUGUAAUUCAUUAUACCUGCCAUUAUGCCAGUCUUCCUGAACAUAAUUUGUUUUCUGCAAUUUCAUUGGCCAAGAGGCUUAAUCCUGGGUUAUCAGAUUGAGCAUUUAUAUUUAGUAUCCCAUUGAUUUUGUCAGCCCUAUAUAAGGAGCUGACUCAGAUUUCCUCACUCUUCUAGGUUAAAGAACUUUUCACAUGAAUUUCGUGUUCGCCUCUUAUCUUUUACAUAGAGUAGGAAAUGAACAAAACAUUGAGUUAGGGAACAAUUUAGAUUUUACAUUAUAAUAUGUAAAUACCUUAGCAGAGUCAAUUUACUUGGUUCAGGGUAGUAUCAGAUAUUACUUUUUCAGAGUUUAAGUGUUUAGGCUAUCUCAAUGUUUCUAUAGUUAGCCUUGUCCUAUGUUACUUUUAGAUGUAUGGAAGCCUUUUAGUGUUGUAACACUAUAUUUAUGCCCCCAUUCAAAGAAGAGGGGCAUAUUGGUUUGUACCUGUUGGUCGGUCGGUAGACCACAUGUUGUCCGCUUAAUAUCUUAAAAACCAUUCACUUGAUCGUAAUAUAUUUCAUAUGUGGGUUGGUUAUGAAAAGAAGAGGACCCCAAUUGUUUUUCAGGUCGAAAUGUCAAGGGUCAAUCUACUCUGGACAUAGGAAGACACUGCCUGCUCAAUAUCUUGAGAACCCUUUGCUUGACAGACAUCAAACUUGGUACACUGGUACAUCUCAAGGAGUAGAUUUGAGGUCACAUGGUCAAAAGUCAAGGGGUAAACUGGACAUAGUAAUAUAUUGUCUUUUAUGUUUUAAGAAUUAUUUGCUUGAUUGACAACAAACCUGGUACAGCAUAAGGAGUAGAUGACCCCUAUUGAUUUUUAGGUCACUUGGUCAAUCCACUCCUGACAUAGGAAGAUAUUGUUUGCUCAAUAUUUCGAAUUGGUGAUACUACUAUCAAUCAAAUUAUGCAUGUGUAUAACCCUUUUCAAUUUUGCACCAUGGGGGCUUAUAUGUUUUACACACAUCUCAUGUUUUAUAGUUUGUGAAAGCUUGUUAGGGUCAUAACUUUAGAUUUUCUUAUUAUGGUACUUGCCCGUCAGAGACUGGACAUAUUAUGGUAUGGUGUUGUCUGUCCGGACCUUAUAAGAUGGGAUACAGACUGAACCGUAAGCUCCAGAAUCUUACAACUUGGUACAUUUGAUCACCAUAAAAGGAAGAUGAUUAUUGUUUUUUAAGGUCAAGGUUGUAGGUUCACUUAAUAGGAAAACCUUGUUUGAGAAAAUUACAGAUUCUUGAACUGAGUAUUUUGAGGAAACAUUACAUAGAAAGUACAUGAUUUGUCAAAUUUCUCCCAAUAUUCAACAGAGAACCUUAUUCUGCAGAGUAUUUGUAUGGGUAUGGAAAAUGUGUAUGUGGCUAUGAUUUUGAUUUUUGUUUAAUUUUUGUUGUUGUUGAAAAUUACAGGUUUAACCGAGUCAGUUUUUGAGGAAAUAUACAUGUAUUAAAUAAAUGACGGUUUGACCUUUUAACUCCUCUCACAGUUUUGAAGCUAGGGUCUUUGUAAAUAACUUCUUUGGUGUUUUAGAAUAUUUAGAGAUUGUUGAUCAUGGUCAAUUUUGGGGAAAUAUUUUCCGCAGAGCUCUAGUUGUCUAUCUACCGGCCUCCUGUCACUUUUAAGUUUAGGAGCUUUUAUUCAUGGAAAGAAA